UGUUUUGCAGAAUGACAGGCGCUGGGGCCGGCUGUGCGCAGAAUCAGAGGCGAGGAGAGACGGCGAGAGAGGGAGGCAGCAGCAGCAGCAGCGGCGGGCGGCGGGGCUGGCUGGCGUAACCAGCUCUGGAGCGGGGCGCUGCGCUCUGUGGCUUCUCUCGCGCUGGCUUCAGCCACCCCCCCUCCCCAGUCCCCCCGCCAGCCUAGGGGAGGGCGAGGGGGAGGGUUGCACCCGCCACACGCCGCAGGGAAAGUCCCCGGGCCCUCCGACGUGCCGCCUCCCCGGACACCCGGGUGCGCUUCAAACUCCUUCCACGGCCAAAAAGGAAAGAGCGAGGGGGGGAGCCCGGACCUGUGGUGACACCACACCGGCUCAGCCAGGGCAGGGCAGCUAGGCGGGAGAUAGACCGGCCUCCAGCCCAAGGUCAAGGCAGGCUGUGGGGCUUGCAGGGUGGCAGUGGAGUGUUAGGGGUUUCUGGGAGCACGGGGGAGGUGGUGGGUGCCAUCUCCCUCAGGGACAGGAUGGCCACCAUGAAGGAACCCAAGGUGGCCAGGGCUUACUUCAAGCCCCAUCCACCCAAGGACUGCUAUCAAGGACAUGGAGGUCUCAUAACCCUCAAUGGCCACCUGUAGGGAACGAUGAGACAAUGGCACCCUUCCAACCCCUCUCCCCUUUCCUUCUGCUCCACUGGCCGCUGACUUCCUCCAUGUCCCACCGCAUCAACGGCCACCACCAGGAAAAUGGAGGUUUUCGCAUUGCUUUUUUCAACCAUCCCACACUUGGAGUGGCCACCAUCAAUGGAGCUGCCCAUGACUAGUUUCAAGAUUCUCCUCCAGUAGAUACAGACAGAUCCAGAGUGGUGAUGCACUGAACUGAAUUUUCCUGCUCUACUGCACAGAGGUUCUCUACUGACACACAGACCUUUUAUUGAUGCAAAAACGUGCAGAAUUCCCCCUGGAAAAAAGAUACCAAAACUGGGGAAAGGCAGCAGCAGGAUGGAAGGCUGCCGAGAUCGUCAUGGUGGCUCCUGCAGUCACAAGGAUGGCUACAGGGCACUUACAGACAUGGUGCUGCCAGAGAUCUUUG